rnacentral:rRNA from 1 species
GAUGAACGCUGGCGGCGUGCCUAAUACAUGCAAGUCGAGCGAACGGACGAGAAGCUUGCUUCUCUGAUGUUAGCGGCGGACGGGUGAGUAACACGUGGAUAACCUACCUAUAAGACUGGGAUAACUUCGGGAAACCGGAGCUAAUACCGGAUAAUAUUUUGAACCGCAUGGUUCAAAAGUGAAAGACGGUCUUGCUGUCACUUAUCGAUGGAUCCGCGCUGCAUUAGCUAGUUGGUAAGGUAACGGCUUACCAAGGCAACGAUGCAUAGCCGACCUGAGAGGGUGAUCGGCCACACUGGAACUGAGACACGGUCCAGACUCCUACGGGAGGCAGCAGUAGGGAAUCUUCCGCAAAGGGCGAAAGCCUGACGGAGCAACGCCGCGUGAGUGAUGAAGGUCUUCGGAUCGUAAAACUCUGUUAUUAGGGAAGAACAUAUGUGUAAGUAACUGUGCACAUCUUGACGGUACCUAAUCAGAAAGCCACGGCUAACUACGUG